GGAGCUUUAGCUUAGUGGUAGAGCGUCCGCUUCACACGCGGAAGGUCACUGGUUCGAACCCAGUAAGCUCCACCA
rnacentral:tRNA from 1 species